GUGGCGGGGCGGGUGUGGGGGUGUUAGUUCCGCUGCUGUUCCGAAGUGCAGGGUCGGUGAGAUGCUGCUUGUCAGCGGUCAUUAUCUUGAUUUCAGAACCUACUGUUGUUACUCCUGGAUUGCCCACUUGGCGUAUAUCUGAAGGUCAGCUUUCCUCCUGUGGUAACGCCUAAAUGCCUGAGCAGCGUUUCUGGAUGCCUUCACUGCAGCCUGUCCUCGGCUUCACCUGUGUUACGGACCUUCCGCACUGCAGUGCUGCUAUCCCUGUUUAGCCGACUCAAUCUCUUGAUGGAUUUGCUUGUUUCCCAGUGUCAGUAGGUGCCUCCAUUACAGUUUGAAGAGAUUGUUUUCACAGCUCGACUGUCAGCUUCUCUGAGCUCCUUUGCUUUUCAGAGCUGCUUCCAAUGGGACCCCACAUCCUGGCUGCCAAAAUGAAGUCCAGGGUCUGUUCUGUGUUACACAUCUUCCUCACACCUCUUAGCAUCUCAAAUUCCACUAUUUUCUGGUCACUGCUGAGGCCACCAUUGACUAUCACACACAAAACCACUUAUUUGUGAACAGUAAAGGCAGAACUGCUGCAUCUCUGUUCCAGUUUAAAAAUGUAUUGACUGACUACGUGGAAACAGCUUAGCUGUGGAAUGCUCACACCACCUAGUUCCACCCUUUUCAAGUACACUACGCUGACACCAAGUCUAACCUGGAGCUGUUUUCACCUUGUUCUCAAGGUGCUGUGUGCUCUGGCAGCAUUGUGCUCUGGCAGCUGCCACCUGGCUAAUGUGUAGCCACUGGUUAUACAUAUAUGAAAUAACAAGCGUUAGUCACUCUUCUCUACAUUUUUGCCAGUUUUUUGCCUUUUUGGUUAUGGCUUUAUUCCUUCAUGUAUCAUCCAGAAUAAUUUUCUACAUGUUCAGCGUGCUGGUACACAGUGAAAGGAAUUAAAAUACUCUUGUCAGGAAAAGCUCCUUUAUGUAACAGUGUUUUCACUCUGCUGGUAGCAUUCACUGUGGCUUCAAGGCUCCCCAAGCCUUGGUGACAGCCUUUGGUAGCAGCUUCAGCAUUGCUCAGUUGCACCUUCACUGUUUGUAAUGUCACAAGCAUACAGGAAGUAGAAGAUUGCACAAUAUUUGACUCAGUGUAAAUUGCUGUAGAUAAGUCAUAUAUUGAUUGAUACUACUGGAAAAAAAAUCCUGGAAAAUGGAAAUUUUAACCUUUCCAUUGUGUGAUUUUUGGACAAGUAACAUAAAUGGUCAGGAAAAAUAAAAUCUGUCCUUUGCUGCUGUGUAGUUGUUGUAUGAAGUAUCGAUUAGGAAGUUAUUGAAAAGUAUGUAAUCAGGCAGAAAUUCUUUUCAGCGUUGCUGGGAUUGAUGCAUAUUAAGAUGCUGGCAGUGGUGCUUUAUAAUCUGAUGAUUAUAUUACCCUUUCUCCUAUCUCUGCACAGGCCUUGUGAAUUUUUUAGCUGAUGUUUUAAUAAAACAUCAACGUAUUUUUUGUGUGAUGUUAAAAUAAACAGAAAAGAUGCCUCGGAAAUCUCUGAAAAUAAGCUGGACUACUGUCAUAAGAGGUGAAUGUAUUGUGUUUGAAGCUUGACUGUACUGAGUCAACAUAGCAUUAUUAAGAUGAAUUAAAGGGACUAUUAUUAGUCACUGUUA